AUAAAUAUAGUUUAGUAAAAUACUAGAUUGUGAUUCUAGAGACAGAAGUUAAAAUCUCCUUAUUUAUC
rnacentral:tRNA from 1 species